UGAUGGACAAAUAUAUAUAGCAAUAUCUAGUACAAUCAAGAUCACAUUCUUAGGCUAUUGAAAGUAUUUUGUUUAAAACUGCCAUAUCUUUAUUUUAUAAAAGUAUAUAAAGAAAUAAUAUACUAGAAUAAAACUAGAAGAUUGAAAAGAGCUUGUCUAGAUCGAAGUGAUAUACAUUAUCCUAAGAACGCGAUUCGCCCCAUAUAUGCAGGUCUGCGGUAAUCUCGUCCCCAAAGUACAACAACCCGCUCAGUCCGAUCCUCCUCUAAUAAGCCCAAUCACUAGAGAGGCUUGACCCAACUGACUCAUGCCAAAAAAACAAUAAAAAAGAAAGAAUGGAGAAAGAAUGUAGGAAAAAAAAGUAUUGUAUUCUCCGUCUCUCACGGAAAGUAGGGAAUCAGAUG
rnacentral:lncRNA from 1 species